UGCAUGAUAACUAUAAGACUAUAACACAGGUAUAACAGUUCCAAAGAUUUGCAGUCACAACACACAAUUAUCCAAGGAAGCAUAUAAUCAAACAAGAACUCAUAGAAAAGCAGAUUAAAUCCUUCAUGAAUGGACUCAGGGCUGGUGUCUGUGAUCGAUAUUGUGUAAGAUUAGUAGACAAUAAGUCACUUUACCAUGGCAAAUACCAAUUUUUCUAAGAGAAACAGCACCUCCAGAUUGUGGAAGAUUAUUAGCAAAUUCUAAAACGAG
rnacentral:lncRNA from 1 species